CUUACUAACACGCAUGUUCAAUGCAUUGCUGGAGCACUUCGUGCGUCAUUGGAAAUAUGGAGUCCCCAGUUUGAACUAUUCCAUAUCUAUUUUCCGUGUUUAUGCCAAGUUAUGGACAACGGAGGAAUAGGCUACUUUAGUUUGACAGUUGGCAUAACUUUUCAAAAUAGUUAUGUAUUAUGGAGCAAACAUCUGAAAAGAGACCGACUAGAAGAAAAAAGCCAGCAACUACAAUCAGGAAAGAAUGCAGUGAAGAGAGUGAAAGAGUGAACUGUUUUGAUGGCAUUGUAAUAUACAAGAGUGAUGUCGAAACAUUAAAUGGAAGCAAGUGGUUGUGUGAUACCAUAAUUGACUUUUUUUAAGGUAUUAAUGCAAAACGGCAGAAAGAAAAGACGAUGGGGAACAAUAUUAUGUCUUUUCUAGUUUUUUCCAACAGAAACUACUCAUGAAAGGACACGUAUCAAAGCGACCAUUAGAUCUUUCGGGAUGCAACUUACAUGGAGUGAGGAGAUACACACCUAAGAACAUGUAUCAAUAUAAAAUGAUUUUUAUACCAG